rnacentral:lncRNA from 1 species
ACAAAUUUAAUUUAGAUUUAUUUUACAGUUUAUGAACAUUAGCAAGACAAGAAAUAGAAUAUGGAGAUACGAGAUUUAUUAGAAUAUACAGAUACACAGAUACGCGAUUAAAUAGCAAAACCAAAGUUAGCAUUUCUGGUACAGAAUGACCAACGUUGAAAGGAUUCUUUCUAUCACACCACAACUUUUACAACCUAUCUAUUACAAUUAUCACACAAGUCCCUAACCCACAAUUCUAAAACACCAUCUGCCAACAAAAAAAAAAAGAGAAGCAAGGAAGAAAAGGGGCAUAGGCAGCGUGAGGUGUGCUGGAGCUACAAGCCAGCCACCCCAUUCCCCCAAUCCACUUCUCCCUACACCCUACCACCUAUUCCUUAGCAUGCUCCAGCAGCCCCAACCCCUCC